rnacentral:rRNA from 1 species
GGUUUAAUUCGAUGAUACGCGAGGAACCUUACCCGGGCUUGAAUUGCAGGAGAACGAUACAGAGAUGUUGAGGUCCUUCGGGACUCCUGUGAAGGUGCUGCAUGGUUGUCGUCAGCUCGUGCCGUGAGGUGUCGGCUUAAGUGCCAUAACGAGCGCAACCCCUCUCCGUAGUUGCCAUCAGGUGAUGCUGGGCACUCUGCGGACACUGCCGCCGUAAGGUGUGAGGAAGGUGGGGGAUGA